rnacentral:rRNA from 1 species
AGAUUGAACGCUGGCGGCAUGCCUUACACAUGCAAGUCGAACGCGAAAGGGGGGCAACCCCCGAGUAGAGUGGCGAACGGGUGAGUAAUACAUCGGAACGUAUCCAGUAGCGGGGGAUAACCUCUCGAAAGAGAGGCUAAUACCGCAUACGACCUACGGGUGAAAGAGGGGGAUCGCAAGACCUCUCACUAUUGGAGCGGCCGAUGUCGGAUUAGCUAGUUGGCGGGUAACGCCCACCAAGGCUACGAUCCGUAGCUGGUCUGAGAGGACGACCAGCCACACUGGAACUGAGACACGGUCCAGACUCCUACGGGAGGCAGCAGUGGGAAUUUGGACAAGUGGGCGCGAAGCCUGAUCCAGCCAGUGCCGCGUGACGUGAAGAAGGCCUUCGGGUUAGUAAAGCUUCGUUCGCGUCGGUAACGAAAGGUACCGUAGUUAACC